rnacentral:rRNA from 1 species
GAGGACCGAACCGACUAAUGUUGAAAAAUUAGCGGAUGACCUGUGGCUGGGGGUGAAAGGCCAAUCAAACCGGGAGAUAGCUGGUUCUCCCCGAAAGCUAUUUAGGUAGCGCCUCGUGAAUUCAUCUCCGGGGGUAGAGCACUGUUUCGGCUAGGGGGCCAUCCCGGCUUACCAACCCGAUGCAAACUGCGAAUACCGGAGAAUGUUAUCACGGGAGACACACGGCGGGUGCUAACGUCCGUCGUGAAGAGGGAAACAACCCAGACCGCCAGCUAAGGUCCCAAAGUCAUGGUUAAGUGGGAAACGAUGUGGGAAGGCCCAGACAGCCAGGAUGUUGGCUU